rnacentral:lncRNA from 1 species
GGCAAGGCUAAAGCUGCCAGAAGCUGUUAAUAACACUGAUCUUGGGACUGAUGGGGAGGAUUCUCCAAUUAAACCCAAAAGGCGAAGAAUACAAAAGAACAUCCUCUUUCCUGAUGAAGAUGACGAUGAGGCUCAACAUAAGUUGCCAAAGAUAAGCCAAAGAAGAGAGUCCAUACUCACCAUACUCCUGAGGUGGACCAGAGAAGCCAUCUGUCCCCUAGCCCUGACCAUAGAAGUCACCUGUCCCAGAGCCCUGACCAAAGAAGCCAUGCAUCUCCUAGUCCUGGCCAAAUAAGCUGUGCGUCCUCAAAGCUGCACCACAUAAGCCAUGCAUCCUCUAGCCCUGAC